GGGAUGGAAUUGAGAUCAGAAGACAGAGGAAGACAAGACAUUUCCCUGGGACACUCUCAUGUUUAUGGAAUGAAUUGAGGCGCGGCACAGUCCGGAACUGAUCAGUGCAAGGGAGCCGAUAUCCCGGUGGUGGAUUUCAAGUUUUAGGAGGGGCACGGGUAACCGCCAAAGGGAGACAAAGCCGCCGAGGAGAAUGAAGAAAUUGCCAAGGAGGAAAAAGACAGAAGGUAAGUUCCAUCGAACACCAUUUUUUAAAACUCUGGGCCACUAAUGUUUGUUUUUAUAACCCGUAAUGUGGGCUCUA